rnacentral:rRNA from 1 species
AUUGAACGCUGGCGGCAGGCCUAACACAUGCAAGUCGAACGAGUGGCGGACGGGUGAGUAAUGUCUGGGAAACUGCCUGAUGGAGGGGGAUAACUACGGGAAACGGUAGCUAAUACCGCAUAAGAUCGGAUGUGCCCAGAUGGGAUUAGCUAGUAGUUGGGGUAAAGGCUCACCAAGGCGACGAUGCCUAGCUGGUCUGCGAGGGUGACCAGCCACACUGGAACGGAGACACGGCCCAGACUCCUACGGGAGGCAGCAGUGGGGAAUAGUGCACAAUGGGCGAAAGCCUGAUGCAGCCAUGCCGCGUGUAUGAAGAAGGCCUUCGGAUUGUAAAGUACUUUCAGCGGGGAGGCGUUACCCGCCGAAAAAGCACCGGCUAACUCCGUGCCAGCCGCCGCGGUAAUUC